CUGGACAGUUCGAAGGGAUGAGAGAGUAGGGGUUGGGAGUAGGGAUAGCGUGGGUGGACUGAAGGAAGAGAGAGAGAAGGAAGGAAAAAAGAGGGUACCGUUUACGGUUCUCGAGUUACCUGGCGCUACAUCAAGACUCGCUGUCUCCACGGGAGCGAGACUUGGUUCGAGACCAGUCGACGUCACGUGACGGGACGACUCCGAUGCCUGACGGUUUUGACGACGUCAGAGUGUCCGUUACUGUCCGGUCUUUUUCUGAAGCAGUUAGGUUCUGGCCUCCCUCUCAGCUGGAGACGGGAAGAAUGUUCCUAACGCCAUUAGUCGCUCCACGCCCCUGGAGUCGCGCGGUCUUGUCCGAGUGCUCAGUCAAGCGUGAACAGACUCGACAACGGAUAGCCAGUCAACCGACCGAGGGUCAUAACAAGUGUGUGGUCAUAGGGUGAGUGUGUGGGUGAGGGUUGAGGCUGGGUGGAAUAUGGGUUGUGUAUUUGUGUGUGUGUAUAUGGGUGAUGGGUAUGGGGUGGAUGGGUUUGUAUGAUGUGCUAGAAAGUGUGUCUGUCUGUGUGUGCGUUCAUGAGUCCAGCGCACCUCCACAUCCUCACCCACCCUACACCCUGCUAACCCACCCACACCUUUUUAACGAAUUUUUUUUUUUUUCAAAAGCCGCACCCACCCCUGUCUUGCUGGCGCCGUUCGCUCUCCCCAGAGAAAGUUUAUUUUUCUAUCGACUUCGCGCUGCAGUCGCUCCACCUCGCGUCAAGCUGCAAUUUUUACCUCCCCUGCUUCCACUUAAUUCUCGUAGGCUCGUCGCUUAACAACAGCAGAAAAAAACCCGAACAACUAAAAUAAAGAAAGACUGGCUGGUGUCAGGGGCUGGCAAGACAGAUACAAACAACUCUCAGGUGUGAUUCUAAUGCGGGAGGUAUGCUGCCUUUAAAAUGUUUUCAGCUUCCUUAGUGACACCUUUCGAUGACCUGCGCGAGGUAAUUGGAGGUACAAGUAAAUAAAAAAAAAAGGAGAGGGUAGGAGCAUCGGCCCAGCAUCCCUGGGACUUAGGCAGCGCUGCUUGUAGACAAAAACGAACCAGAGGGGACCAAAACUUUGAGAGAUUAGGGACAGCAACCGGAAGUUUGUGUCUUCUAUCGCUUCUUCUUCACAUAAUGUGUUUCUCCUCCUCUAUCUAUCAAGCUGUCUGUCUAUCCUGCUACCAAGCGGGAAAACUCUUGGGGAUGAUAUAAUGACUAAAAAUAACCCAAUAAAGUGUUCUUACCUUUCGAGUCUCUCAACAGCUGAUGCACUUGUCUGGGUGUGGCUCCAGACGGGGUAGCUCGCCCUGGUGUAGUCUCGCUGACUCAGCUGAAAACACCCAGAACUUUCCCAGAACAGGUCAAGUGUUUAGACUGCAGUGUCGGGGAUUCUGUUUCUGGAGCCAGAACCAGCGCGCAAUGUGGAGACAAAGCAGCCUGUGACCCCAGACGACGAGUGUCAGCCAUGUCGACUCACGCGGCGCGUGCGAGAGGUCGCAUGCAAAUCGCAAUCAUGAUCGUGGCGGUGGAUAAGCACGCUUAAUUAGCCAGGUUAAAAUUUUGAGUAGAACAGCUAAUUACUCUUGGACAAAUCUUUGGCAAAUGUGAAGAAAAAAGAGACGCUAUUCUCUCCCCUUUCUCUCUCUCUUUUUUUUUUUUUUCCUCUUUAAAGCGCAACCAGAGGGUGGGGCCAGAACUUUCUGCUAAAAAGACUUUCAGCUUCCUCUUGCCUUCCUCUUCUCUUCGCUUCCUUCUGAGCGACAGCUGUGGCAUCUCCCUCCACCGCAAGGCGUCGCGAGCUGCAAGAGCAGGGGAGGUAAUGAGCGAUUAGGCAGGAACAAGACGCGGGAUUACACACCUUUGCAGAAGCGCGUCGGUAUCUGGCGCUGUCAUCUUCCUACACAGUUAUCUGGUGCGCAGAUCUGAAGGUAGUUUGUUCCCAUCUCCCCCCUAACCCCUCCUUUCUUCUUCUUCUCUCACCAUUUGGCCUUUCAUCCCAGCAGACAGAUGACCGGCUAAUGUCAUCCCAAAAGCCCGGGCAAAAUGGCGCGAAAAUUAGAAGGCGCCAAAACAUGAGUCGCGUCCCCUUGAAGAACCGGAAGCAGCUCCGAUGCCACGGUCAUUAUGGGAACGUUUGGCGCGCUCGCUUGGCGUCAGCACAGGCGGAAGACGUCGCUCGCGCGCUAUGAUUCCGCAGUCACUCAAAUGGCAACAGCCGGCACAAGUGGCCACUCGACACGCCGAUGGUCGUCGGUGCCAGUGAAACUCUACUCAGCAUGCGGAGACUAUUUUGCUCCAAGUUUAAACAAGGGUUUGCGGGAUCAGACAUCAGACGGGAGUCUUGGGUUCCACUAGCGAGGGUCGGCGAGUUCACCAGUCCGCUCCCUCAGCGAUCCCCCUCCAGGCUUUGUGUUUUCCGUGAGCGAUGGAAAAAGACCGUAUACAGUCAGAAACAGGGAAAGUAAACAUACACGCAAAAGGUUACGUACAUAAAUAUUUAAAUGAGAUGUGCGUUAGAAAGAAGGGAGAGAACAAUGGAUGCUAUCUCACCCUUUAGGUGUAUAUGCCAGUCGCCGCCGUGACGACUGCCUCAGAGUCCAGCGAAGGAGGACACAGAGUCGCAGACUUUGAAUGACCUGACCUCACUGACCCUAAGAACUACACGACGUGGGGCCAGGGCGCCAAGAACCAAGAGGCAUCAGGAGCAAGAGAACCACUCAGUUCGAGACCAUCGAACCCUGGCCGUCUGGAACCCCUAGUGCGAAAUCACCUCAAAGUGGAAGCAUUUUCCUACUAAAUAAACCAAACAACCGUUUUUUAAUUUGCACUAACCUUUAACUGACACGCCGACUUUUUUAUAUUUCAUAUUAAUUGUAUCUCUAUAAUUAUUUCAUUAAGAUCGUCUAUACAUUAGUCUACACUUGUUUAAUAUUGAGUAACUUUAUAACAAAGUGUUUACAAGAUAAAAACAAGUCGGACAGUG